AUAUUUACCUGGCAAGGGAGAUACCAUGAUCGCGAAGGUGGUUUUCCCAGGGUUAUGCUUAUCCAUUGCACUUCAGAUGUGCUGACCCUUGCAAUUUCCCCAAAUAUGGGAAACUCUACUGCAUAAUAUGUGGUAGUAGGGGACUGCAUUCACACUCUCUCGUA